UCUCCGUAGGUGAACCUGCGGAAGGAUCAUUAUUGUAUAACCGAGGUGCGAGGGCUGACGCUGGCCCGAUAGGUCGUGCACGCUCGAGUGCCCGCACACACAUCUAUCUCACUCCUGCUCGCACCCCCGCGUGGGCUCCCCUUUGGUUCGUUCGGCGGGCGGUCCACGUUUUCACCCCAACUUUCCAUGCAGUGCAGAAUGAAUUUUACGUCUUUCAGCAUACCCAAGCAACACAACUUUCAACAACGGAUCCCUUGGAUCUCGCAGCGCUGAAGAACG
rnacentral:misc_RNA from 1 species